rnacentral:lncRNA from 1 species
AAACUCCCAUUUCCUCAGUCCCUGGCUCAGGAAGCCAGCAUUCAUUUAUAAGAUCUGGGAAUGCCCUGUGCCCCUUAACUUUCCCGAAGUUGUUGAUGUUUGUAAGGAGUGGGAUCCAGAGUUUCAGGAGUGACGCAGAGAGCUGUCCCAGCAUCUGCAGUGUGGAUGUUGGCCAUGCCCUUCUUAUAAAGCUGCCGUGACAAUGCUGGUUUCCUCAG